rnacentral:rRNA from 1 species
UGCAAGUCGAGCGGUAGAGAGAAGCUUGCUUCUCUUGAGAGCGGCGGACGGGUGAGUAAUGCCUAGGAAUCUGCCUGGUAGUGGGGGAUAACGUUCGGAAACGGACGCUAAUACCGCAUACGUCCUACGGGAGAAAGCAGGGGACCUUCGGGCCUUGCGCUAUCAGAUGAGCCUAGGUCGGAUUAGCUAGUUGGUGAGGUAAUGGCUCACCAAGGCGACGAUCCGUAACUGGUCUGAGAGGAUGAUCAGUCACACUGGAACUGAGACACGGUCCAGACUCCUACGGGAGGCAGCAGUGGGGAAUAUUGGACAAUGGGCGAAAGCCUGAUCCAGCCAUGCCGCGUGUGUGAAGAAGGUCUUCGGAUUGUAAAGCACUUUAAGUUGGGAGGAAGGGCAGUUGCCUAAUACGUAACUGUUUUGACGUUACCGACAGAAUAAGCACCGGCUAACUCUGUGCCAGCAGCCGCGGUAAUACAGAGGGUGCAAGCGUUAAUCGGAAUUACUGGGCGUAAAGCGCGCGUAGGUGGUUUGUUAAGUUGGAUGUGAAAUCCCCGGGCUCAACCUGGGAACUGCAUUCAAAACUGACUGACUAGAGUAUGGUAAAGGGUGGUGGAAUUUCCUGUGUAGCGGUGAAAUGCGUAGAUAUAGGAAGGAACACCAGUGGCGAAGGCGACCACCUGGACUAAUACUGACACUGAGGUGCG